GGGGCCGCUCCGCCCAGUCUGGAGAGGGGUGUCACUGCCGCGGCGCUAGGCCCGGAGUCCUGCUUGGGGAGACUAGAGCACUCACCCUGGGCCUGCUGGAGAGUCCCCGGAGAGAGGGUCGCCGCCCGCCGGCUCCGGGGCACUCGGGUGAGCGCUCGCAGAGGCCGUUGACCGAGCGCACCGAGGCGCCCGGGCAAAGAAGCGGCGGAGCGGCCGCGACGGGCCGGGACAUACGCGAGAACGGCCAGGACUGACCCCUUCCAGGAGCCGUAGCGGAAGUAGGUUUCUGGUCAUGUGACGAGAGAAGGGCGGAUGUUGCAUGCAGGCUCCUGAGACGUCGACGCGGAGCCAUUUUUGUCGUGGGCAAAGUACUCCCGUCUCAGGGAAGGGGGUGAAGCAGCAGAGGAUGGGCUUCCUGCCUGCGUGAGAGUCUCUACACACGGGGUUUGUUAUCUCCUUUGAGGGUAGAUCAGAAGCAAGUGUCUCUCACUACCCCCUGCACCGCCGGUCCAGUCCAGUAUAUGGGACAUAGUUUGGAACUGAAGAAAACAACUUGUUAAGCUCAAUUAAGUAACUGUGGAAUGUAUCUGUAUACUUAAGAACAUGUUUUAAGACAUAUAGCAGCUGUGUACAGUACAGUAAGGUUUUACCCAGUGG
ensembl:processed_transcript C430014B12Rik RIKEN cDNA C430014B12 gene